rnacentral:rRNA from 1 species
GGUUUCCCUUUACGAACUGUAGUUUAAAGAAGUGUUUUCUGUUGAGGUUUUGGUAAAAGUUCUUUGGAAUAGGACAUCAUAGAGGGUGAGAAUCCCGUAUUUGACCUUUACUUUCAACUUUGUGAUACACUUUCAAAGAGUCGGAUUGUUUGGGAAUGCAGUCCAAAAUGGGUGGUAAAUUUCAUCUAAAGCUAAAUAUUGGCGAGAGACCGAUAGCGAACAAGUACCGUGAGGGAAAGAUGAAAAGAACUUUGAAAAGAGAGUUAAACAGUACGUGAAAUUGUCAAAAGGGAAGCGUUUGACACCAGUGUUGUUUUUCUGAAAAUCAAUUAAAGAACUGUUUAUGCUAAGUUGUUUAGACUUUAUCAGCUAACUGUUUAGUUUUGAGCUUUUCUUU